AUUCCAACUAUGUGAUUAUAAUUGAAAGUUGACUUGUUUCUGUAGGAGGGGGUGUGGCAUGCUAACUCUGCAAUUCAAGCAUUUGUUGGAGACAGUGACAUCACUAAGUCACUGAGAGCCUUAGCUCUAGUUUCCAGAAACAGGGCUGAAAGACAUCAGAUCUUGCUUUGGUUCUGAGAUGAACUUCAGGCUCUUCUGUGUGGCCUUGAGUCUCCUGUGUGCAAAACACAUGGAGGCUGCAGUCACCCAAAGCCCAAGGAGCAAGGUGACAGUAACAGGAGGAAAGGUGGAACUAAGCUGUCACCAGACGGAUAACCACAACAACAUGUACUGGUAUCGGCAGGACCUGGGUCAUGGACUGAGGCUCAUCCAUUACUCGUAUGGUGCUGGCAGCACAGAGAAAGGAGAUGUCCCUGAUGGGUACGAUGUCAUCAGAUCAAGGACAGAGACCUUCUCUCUCAUUCUGGAGAAAACUUCCCCUUCUCAGACAUCUGUGUACUUCUGUGCCAGCAGUGAUACACAUCAGUGUGUGGCUGCCUCCUCUCUGCACAGAAAGUAAACUAGGAAGUCAAAAUGCCUGUGUGCCCCAGGAAGUCCCUGUCUCUGUAGGAGUCAAUGAGCUCUGACAAACUUGGAACAUUUCAGCAUGGGUCUCAGCCUCACUGAAGUCUACUCUAACAGCUUUUAAUCGCUGCUUGGCUCAUCCCCACCCCUUGUUCCCCUUUCUGAGAGGAAGGUAAAUCUUUCUGUUUUGUUUUUUAGUGACAAUUUCUCCAUGUAAUAGUCUUGGAACUCAAAUUGUAGACCAGGCUGGCCAGAAAUUUGCAGAGAUCCACCUGCCUCUGCCUCCCUAGUGCUAGGAUUGAAUGCCUGUGCUACCAAUCCUAGCCCAGCUGAAAACGAAUCCUUAAAUGUAGUUUCUUAUGACCCAUUUGAUAAAGUCAUAGCCACCAUCUCCCUCCCUGUACCUUCAGUGAACUCGUCAGCCACUCUGCCAUCCAACUGAAUCUCUUAUAUAAUCUCUAACCAGGCUGUGUUUGCUCCAUAGGUCAGUAGCAAAUAGCCCAUAAGGUCUUAUAUCAUUGUCUUUACUCUAUUAUCAACCUUUAUGCAGCCUCCAUAGGUUCUUUCUCUCCAGCUGAACAUGACUACAUUCCAUUAUUUCCUCAUGUGCACUGUGCAGUUUUCAACCCUAGAGAUGUUCUUCUAGUACAUUCCUCCUAGACUGAAGACACAGUUUUCCCUUUUGUUCUGGAUCUCUUCUUCCCAUGAAAAUAUCUUUCUGGUUGGAUGAUUUUCCUUUCAUUUUUUAAAGAUUUUAAUUUAAUUACAUUAUUUCUUCCCUCCUUCUCCCUCUAGUUUCUCACAUGAUUAUCUCCUCUUUCAAAUUCAUAUCCUCAUAUUUUUUAAUUAUUAUUUUUUGUUUGCUUUUUGUGUGGUAUGCUUCAAUAAAUUAAUUCAACCUGCUGAAUCUAUUUAAUGUCUCUAAUAUUUAUACUUUUAGGAAUGCCUGCCUGUGAUUGGUUAACCAUGUAAGAGUCUGUGGUAGUUUGAAUGUAAUUUCCCCUAUAAGUUCAUAGGGAGUUGUACUAUUAGGAGUUGUUGUUGUUGUUGAAGUAGAUGUGACCUUAAGGGACUAUCUCUCAUUGUGAAAAAAGUUAGAGUUCUAAAAGUGCUUUGAUAUCAGAUAUGGAGAGGCAAUAUUUGGACUUUGCUCAGCUGGUUUUCAGUCUUGCUCAAAUCUAAGACUUCCUCACUAUUCUCUUUUCCCUUUGUUUUGUAACAGUAAUGUAUAUCCUGUAUCAUUGUGUGUUGGAAGUAUGUGACCUGAGUUUUUGAUUUUGAUUUUAUAGGGGACUAGAGUGAAGAAAUUGCAUGAAUCUUAGGACUGACUUUGAACUUUAGAUUUUUAAACAUUAUUAAGACUGUGAUAGAUUAUAGGGAUUUUGGAAGUUGAACUGCAUAUAUUUUGAAUUAUGACAUAUUCACAGGCUUAUGGGGACCAGGGAGUCGAAUGCUGCAAUUUGAAUGUAAAUGACCCCCCUUCAGUACAUAGGGAGUGGCAUUAAUGCUUGGAGGUGUGGCUUUGUUGAAGUAACUGUAGCCUUACUGGAGGAAGUGUGUCACUGUAUGGAUGGGUUUUAACGUCUCCUAUGUUCAACCUUAACUCAGUGUGAUACUCAAUUCAUUUCCUGUUGCCUUUGUAUCAAGAUGUAGCCAUCACGAUGUCUGCCUGCAUGCCACCAUGUUGUACCAUGAUGA